GUAAGAUAAGCUAAUCAAGCUCCUGGGCCCAUACCCCAAAAAUGUAGGUCAACCCCUACUCUCACUA
rnacentral:tRNA from 1 species